rnacentral:rRNA from 1 species
UAAGCCAUGCGAGUCAACAUAGCAAUAUGUGGCAUACGGCUCAGUAACACGUAGUCAACAUGCCCAGGGGACGUGGAUAACCUCGGGAAACUGAGGAUAAACCGCGAUAAGUCACUACUUCUGGAAUGGGUAAUGAUUUAAAUCUAUAUGGCCCCUGGAUUGGACUGCGGUCGAUCAGGCUGUUGGUGAGGUAAUGGCCCACCAAACCUGUAACCGGUACGGGCUCUGAGAGGAGGAGCCCGGAGAUGGGCACUGAGACAAGGGCCCAGGCCCUAUGGGGCGCAGCAGGCGCGAAACCUCUGCAAUAGGCGAAAGCCUGACAGGGUUACUCUGAGUGAUUUCCGUCAAGGAGAUCUUUUGGCACCUCUAAAAAUGGUGCAGAAUAAGGGGUGGGCAAGUCUGGUGUCAGCCGCCGCGGUAAUACCAGCACCCCGAGUGGUCGGGACGUUUAUUGGGCCUAAAGCAUCCGUAGCCGGUUCUGCAAGUCUUCCGUUAAAUCCACCUGCUUAACAGAUGGGCCGCGGAAGAUACUAUAGAGCUAGGAGGCGGGAGAGGCAAGCGGUACUCGAUGGGUAGGGGUAAAAUCCGUUGAUCCAUUGAAGACCACCAGUGGCGAAGGCGGCUUGCCAGAACGCGCUCGACGGUGAGGGAUGAAAGCUGGGGGAGCAAACCGGAUUAGAUACCCGGGUAGUCCCAGCUGUAAACGAUGCAGACUCGGUGAUGAGUUGGCUAUAUGCCAACUCAGUGCCGCAGGGAAGUCGUUAAGUUUGCCGCCUGGGGAGUACGGUCGCAAGACUGAAACUAAAGGAAUUGGCGGGGGAGCACCACAAGGGGUGAAGCCUGCGGUUCAAUUGGA